GUACCAAAUCUAAUGCUUUUACAGUUCUCAAGUCCUACUUAGUUAUGGUAGAAAGGCAAUUUAAAACAAAGGUACAAAUUAUUAGAACAGACAAUGCUUUUGAGUUAGGCAGUGGCAAAAUACAAUAAGAAUUUUUUCAAUCCCAAUGAAUUAUACACCAAACCACUUGUGUACAUACUCCACAACAAAAUGGAGUUGUGGAGAGAAAGCAUAAGCAUUUGUUAGAAACUUACAAGGCUUUGUUAUACCAAUCACACUUACCCAUAGCAUAUUGGGGGGAUUGUCUACUCAUUGCUACCUAUUUAAUCAACAAAUUUCUUUCAACAAUUUUACAAUCUAAAACACCUUAUGAGAUACUUUUCAGAACCAAGCCAAACUACUCCAUGUUAAGGUGUUUUGGUUGUUUAUGUUUUGCUUCUACUCCUUCAUAUCACAGAACCAAGUUUGCACCUAGGGUUGUAGCUUGUGUUUUCUUAGGGUAUCCACAUGGUAAGAAAUGCUAUAAAUUGCUUAAUCUCAAAACUAUGAGAACUUUCAUCCCAAGGGAUGUUGUGUUUCAUGAGUAAUUUUUCCCUUUUGCUACAAUUAGUUCUAGUCUUUCCUCUAAUCCUACUUUGCCUACUACUAAAUUCCAUCCUACUCAUGUGCCUAUUUCAGAACUUAAACCAGUUGCUCCCUCUUCUCAUGCCUCCAACACACCACUCACCUCACCAGUCUCUAGUCUUCCUACUGCCUCAUCUAUGUUAUCUCAUCUUCCUACAACACACCUUACCUCUGACUAUACCUUAGAAACUUCAUCUUCAUCACAUAGUCCUAUUCCUAUGUUUCCUUCCUUUGGAACUGAACCUCACUUAGAAAAUCUCAUCAGAAAGUCUUCCAGGCCACACAACCCUCCUGCCUAUCUCAAGGAUUACAUUUGCAAUGCCCUACAUCUCACAAAUGUGAGCACUUCCUGGUUCCUCACUCCUGUGACACCUCAUUUUUUUUCUUUUAGUGGUCUAUCUUCUACCAACCAACAUAUGCUCAACUCUCUUUCUAAUCUUCAUGAACCUGUUAGUUUUACAUAGGAAGCACUCCAUUCAGGGUGGCAGGAUGCUAUGGCAAAGGAGAUUGAGGCUCUUGAGCUCAAUAAGACCUGGGAUGUGAUAGAGUUACCACCAGGGAAGAAGGCUUUGCCAUGUAAGUGGGUUUACAAAAUUAAACAACAUUCUGAUGGUUCUGUGGAAAGAUUGAAGGCCAGGUUGGUUGUAAGGGGAGACAUUCAGAAAGAAGGCAUUGAUUUUAAUAAAACAUAUUCCCCUGUGGUCAAGAUGACCACAAUAAGGUGCAUACUUGCUGCAGCUGUUAAAAGGGAUGGGGACUCUAUCAAUUAGAUGUGAAUAAUGCCUUUUUACAUGGGAAUUUAAAUUAAUAAGUCUACAUGAAAUUUUCAGGUAGUAUCACACCACCUUCUCCUAAUCAUGUAUGCAAAUUAAAGAAAUCUCUGUAUGGACUCUGACAAGCUUCUUGUCAGUGGUAUGCCAAGGUUACUACAACCUUGAGUUUUAAAGGUUUCACUCACUCUUUGAAUGACUAUUCAUUAUUCUUCAAAAAGACAGGUUCCUCUAUCUCUAUUGUUGCGGUAUAUGUAGAUGACAUUCUAUUAACAGGUAAUGAUGAUGCUGAACUACAUGUUUUAAAAGAGUUUCUCAAUCAGGAAUUCAAAAUUAAGGAUCUUGGUUUCUUGCAUUUUUUUUCUUGGCAUGGAAGUCAUUCGAGAACCUCAAGGAUUGAUCCUAUCCCAGAGAAAGUUUACUUUGGAUCUUUUGCAUGAAUUUGCAUCUUUGCAUUUGUCUCCUGCCUCCUCACCUCUUGAUUCUUCUAUCAAAUUGCUCACCAAAACAGGGGAUCCUGUGAAGGAUCUGACCUUAUAUCGUCAUCUUCUCGGUAAGCAUAAUUAUCUUACCCACACCAGGCCUGACCUGUCUUUCACCAUCCAACACCUCAGUCAAUACAUGCAAGACCCACGCCAACCACAUCUUGAUGCUGCUUAUCGAGUACUCUGUUAUCUUUUAAAAGACCCAGGCCUUGGUUUUUUUAUGUCUGCCUCACCUUCAUUUCAGCUCCUUGCUUUUUGUGACUCUGAUUGGGGCACUUGUCCUGAAUCCCGCCGAUCAGUCAGUGAUUUUUACAUAUCCAUAGGCUCUUCUCAUAUUUCUUGGAAGUCCAAGAAACAAACUUACAUCUCUCUUAGUUCUGCUGAGGCAGAAUACCUUUCCAUGAGACGGGUAGUAGCUGAGCUCACUUGGUUGGUUCGCCUCUUUGAAGAUCUGUCCAUCCUCAUUUCUUUUCAUGUUCCUCUUCAUUCUGAUAGUCAAGCCGCACUUCAUAUCACGAAGAACCUCGUGUUCCAUGAACGCACCAAGCAUGUCGAAAUCGACUGUCACUUUGUGCGACAACAAUUUCUUGCUGGGCUUAUCUCUCUUUCUUUUGUUAGAUCUGAUUCUCAGCUUACAGAUCUCUUCACUAAACCUCUCACCGGUCCUCGUCAUCGGAAUCUAUUGGGCAAGUUGGGUGUUCGUACCUUCCCCUCCAACUUGAGGGGGGUGUUGGUGUUACCCUAAUUUCUAAGAAAGUUAGAGAAGACGAAGAAGUAGUUUGAUGUUUCUAAGGUUAACUUUGUUUUAUCUGAAAUGUGUUAAUAUGUUUUAUGCUUUGAUUUGUAAAGAAGACUUGGACUUGGGCCUUAUUUUCUACUGGGACAUUUCUAUUGGGCUCAUUACUGGACCAUCGCUGGAAGCAACUGGAAGGCUAACUCUUCUAGAAGAUCAGAAUACAUUACAUUUUAUACUUGUGAUUAUUUAUCUUUUAUAUUUAUCUUCUAUUCAGUUAUAGAGAAUAAAAAUUAGUUAUAGAGUAGUCAGUAAUAGAAUAUCACUUGGCUUUUCUGUUUUUACCCUAGAUUCUUUUCUUCCUUGUAUUUAUACAUCAUCUCUGUACAGCAGAUUAUCAAUUCAAUACAAAAAGGAAAAUUCUCAACGUUGGUUUUUUACAUUUCUACAUCUUCCCCCAUGAUCUCAAUUGUUAAUGUCAUGUUUAAGACAAUCAUUUUGUAACCUUCAUAUGUAAUAGUAUAAAUAGAGGCAUGAAAUGUGAGAUGGAAUAUACUUGACACUUGAUGAAAUAAGAAAGUUAUCUCUUCUUCUCUUAUUCUACUUAUUUUCUUGUUUUAUAUUGUUACUUUGAGCUACAUUUCUUAAUACGUUAUCAGUACGAAGUUGAGCUCUUUUCGUUGUUCAGGUAUAUUUGUUCAUUUAGUUUUCUUUGUUGUAUAUUUUAAUUUCAUGAUUAGUGUCUUUAAUAUGUAGUUUUAUAAUUUCUCACAUCUCUAGAUAUAUGUAAAAAUAAAGAACUAUGGGUGUGUUUGGUAUGAAGGAAAACAUUUUCCGGAAAAUAUUUUCCAAUUUUCCCAUGUUUGGUUGGCUUAAAUAUUUUAGAAAACAUUUUCCUUAUGAACUCAUUUUCCUCCAAUUGGAGGAAAAUGUUUUCCUCAUCAAGAGAAGGGAAAACAUUUUCCAAAACUCCUUCUCAACCUUCCCCACCCUCACCAACCCACCCCACCCCGUCUCCAAAAACAGUUUUUUUUAAAUUUCAAUUUUUCCGUUCCCACCCACCCUACUACCCCUCCACCCCCAUCCCCACCCCCUGCAAAAAAAAUNNNNNNNNNNNNNNNNNNNNNNNNNNNNNNNNNNNNNNNNNNNNNNNNNNNNNNNNNNNNNNNNNNNNNNNNNNNNNNNNNNNNNNNNNNNNNNNNNNNNNNNNNNNNNNNNNNNNNNNNNNNNNNNNNNNNNNNNNNNNNNNNNNNNNNNNNNNNNNNNNNNNNNNNNNNNNNNNNNNNNNNNNNNNNNNNNNNNNNNNNNNNNNNNNNNNNNNNNNNNNNNNNNNNNNNNNNNNNNNNNNNNNNNNNNNNNNNNNNNNNNNNNNNNNNNNNNNNNNNNNNNNNNNNNNNNNNNNNNNNNNNNNNNNNNNNNNNNNNNNNNNNNNNNNNNNNNNNNNNNNNNNNNNNNNNNNNNNNNNNNNNNNNNNNNNNNNNNNNNNNNNNNNNNNNNNNNNNNNNNNNNNNNNNNNNNNNNNNNNNNNNNNNNNNNNNNNNNNNNNNNNNNNNNNNNNNNNNNNNNNNNNNNNNNNNNNNNNNNNNNNNNNNNNNNNNNNNNNNNNNNNNNNNNNNNNNNNNNNNNNNNNNNNNNNNNNNNNNNNNNNNNNNNNNNNNNNNNNNNNNNNNNNNNNNNNNNNNNNNNNNNNNNNNNNNNNNNNNNNNNNNNNNNNNNNNNNNNNNNNNNNNNNNNNNNNNNNNNNNNNNNNNNNNNNNNNNNNNNNNNNNNNNNNNNNNNNNNNNNNNNNNNNNNNNNNNNNNNNNNNNNNNNNNNNNNNNNNNNNNNNNNNNNNNNNNNNNNNNNNNNNNNNNNNNNNNNNNNNNNNNNNNNNNNNNNNNNNNNNNNNNNNNNNNNNNNNNNNNNNNNNNNNNNNNNNNNNNNNNNNNNNNNNNNNNNNNNNNNNNNNNNNNNNNNNNNNNNNNNNNNNNNNNNNNNNNNNNNNNNNNNNNNNNNNNNNNNNNNNNNNNNNNNNNNNNNNNNNNNNNNNNNNNNNNNNNNNNNNNNNNNNNNNNNNNNNNNNNNNNNNNNNNNNNNNNNNNNNNNNNNNNNNNNNNNNNNNNNNNNNNNNNNNNNNNNNNNNNNNNNNNNNNNNNNNNNNNNNNNNNNNNNNNNNNNNNNNNNNNNNNNNNNNNNNNNNNNNNNNNNNNNNNNNNNNNNNNNNNNNNNNNNNNNNNNNNNNNNNNNNNNNNNNNNNNNNNNNNNNNNNNNNNNNNNNNNNNNNNNNNNNNNNNNNNNNNNNNNNNNNNNNNNNNNNNNNNNNNNNNNNNNNNNNNNNNNNNNNNNNNNNNAUGCAUUUAUGUUAAUAUGUUUUAUGUUUUAUACUUUUAGUUUGCAAAUUUUAGACUUUUAGUUUGUUUUUUUAAUUCUAACCCUUAAAAGUUUAAUUCUAAUCUUUAAUUUUAACCCUUAAAAGUUUGAAAACACUUAAGUGCUUAACUAUCAAUAACAUUGAAAAAGAAAAAUAUAAGAUAGUUAAAAAUAAAAAAAAUAAAAACGAAAGCCCGACCCGCCCGAACCCGCUAGGCCCGAACCCGUACGGGCCCUAUAGGACCCGAAAAAUCCCAGCCCGUUAACUCCAGCCCGCUAACAACCCGCCCGUAACCCUAACGGGCUGACCAUUUUUGUGUCCAGCCCGUCCCAGCCCGCCCGAUAAACACCUUUACCCCCAACCCCACAAAAAAGAAAUUUUACUUUCUUUUUGUAAUUUAAUUUCUAUUUUUUUUGUUUUACUGUCCCCCACCCCCAGCCCUGCUCCCUCUCCCAGAAAUAUUUUUUAAAUAUAUUUUUCAGUUUUUAUUUUAUUAUUUAUCAGUUUAAAGGCUCAAAAUUUUGUAAGUUCCAAAAUUAUUAGUUCGGAGGUUUAUGUGUUUGGAAGUUUACGGGUUUAGAAAUUAUAAAAUUUACGGGUUCGAAAUUUUGUGGUUUUUAAAGUUUAGCGGUUCGAAAGUUUAUGAAAUUUGUGGGUUCGAAGGUUAUUGGUUUGAAAGUUUAUGGCUUCAUGUUUAUUAUAUCUUAAUUAUUUAUGAAUACUCUUGAGAAGUCAUUUUCCUUAAUUUGCAUACCAAACACCAGAAAAUGAAUAAGAUUACUACUUGUUUUCCAAGAAAUCAUUUUCUUGGAAAAUAUUUUCGUUAUGCCAAAUACACCCUAUAUGUUUCUUUAUUUUAAGUUAUUUGCAUGAUUGUCAUGUGAAAGUUGCUAAUUUUCAUGUUAAUAGAAUUAAUUGAAAGAAGAAUACUUUUUUUAUGUUGUUCGACAUUUGAAAUUGUGUUAAAGUUAGAAGACAUUUUUGUUCUAGUUAACACCAAAGAUAUACUAAUAAUUUGAAGAAAAAAAUAGUAUUCUUUUCUAUGGAAUUAUCAUUUUAGUGUAUAUAGAUCACAAAUUUGAUAUUAUGUCAAUUUUUAAGAUUCUUUACGCUAUUAUCCUAAUGAUUUCUAAUUAUUUAUCUUCUUUGAUAGUUUUCACUAUGUCAAAUUUGUCAAAGCUUGAGUUUGUGGCACUUGACAUUUCUGAAAAGAAUUACCUAUCAUGGGUUCUCGAUGCUGAGAUUCACUUAGUCGCUAAAGGCCUUGGUGACACCAUUACUCAGGGUAAUGAGGCAUCAGGCCAGGACAAAGCGAAGGCCAUAAUUUUCCUUCGUCAUCAUUUGGAUGAAGGUUUGAAGGUUGAAUAUUUGACAGUGCUAUCCACUUGAAUUGUGGACUGGCCUGAAGGAAUGGUAUGAUCACCUUAAGGCUACGGUAUAGCCAAGGGCUCGAUAUGAGUGGAUGCACUUAUGGUUGCAAGAUUUUAAGACCGUAAGUGAGUAUAACUCUGUUGUAUUAAUAACUUCCCAAUUGAAAUUAUGUGGGGAUGUUAUGAAUGAUGAGGAUUUGUUGGAAAAGACUCUUACGACUUUUCAUAUAUCAAAUAUGGUAUUACAGCAGCAAUAUCGUGAAAGGAGUUUUAAAAAGUAUUCUGAAUUGAUCUUAUGCCUUCUGGUGGUUGAGCAACAUAAUACUUUUUUGCUGAAAAAUUAUGAAGUCCGUCCCACAGGGUCAGCUCCACUUCCUGAAGCGAAUAUGGCAGCUAGACGUGAUAAUUCUUGAAAAAGAUAGAAUAAUAAUCAUGGCGAUAUGAAUGAACGUGGUCAUGGCAAUGGUAAGAGACGAUAUAAUAGUCGUCAUCAUGUGGUCAUGGCAAACGAGAGAAUAAUAUGGGUUCUCAAAACAAUCCUUCAAUAGGCAAAAGCGGUAACUGUCACCGUUGUGGCAUGAAAGGUCAUUGGAAAAUUGAAUGUCGUGCACCUGAGCAUUUUGUCAGGCUUUAUCAAAACUGCAUCAAAAGAAACGCAAAUAAUGUUGGAGCAUCUUCUGCUAAUGCCCCAGUGGAGUCUCACUUGACCGUUAAAAAUAAUUUUGAGGCAGGGCCUUCAAAUAAAAAUGAUGACAAUGCUGAGGCAAAUCUUGCUUUGAAUAAUGAUGAUUUUCAAGGCCUCGAUGAUCUUACUCAUUUGAAAGUUAAAGACUUCUUUGGAGAUCAAAACUAAAGUUUGAUCAUUUUACUGGGGAAUGGAAUUAUCUUGUUAUUUUUAUUUUCAGUGUUUUUUUGUCUCUUCUAAAGUUAUUUUUAUUUUCAAGUAGUACUUAAGUUGUCUUAUGUUGUUGGUGGUGGUGUUAGUUUUUCCAUAUUUCUCAUGGUGUACUUUUAUUUUUAAGAAGAAAAUAAAAUUUUCCAGUUUUCAAUUGAAUUCAAGAUGAGUAAUGAAGAUUUAUGCCGUUUGGAUGGUGUUACAACUCACACAAUAUUAAGAGAAAAGAAAGUUUUCUCUUAUUUGGUUAUGAAAAAUGCCUAUGUUAAUACAAUAUCUGGUAGUACAAAGUUAAUUGAGGGCUCUGGAAGAGCGGCCUUAUUACUACCUGGAGGAACGAUAUUAACUAUUGAUAAUGCAUUAUAUUGUAGUAAGUCUCAAAGAAACUUGUUGAGUUUCAAAGCUAUUCGCCAAAAUGGGUACCAUGUUGAGACCUCAAAUGAAGGAAAUGUUGAAUACCUUUAUAUUACUACAAUAAAAGUGGGUAAAAAAUAUGUGCACGAAAAAUUACCCGCAUUUUCUUCUAGGUUGUACCACACAAAUAUUGGUGUGGUUGAAUCACAUGCCAUAGUAAACAAAAGGUUUACUACUUCUAAUGAUUUUAUCAUUUGGCAUGACCGGUUGAGCCAUCCCGGUUCUAACAUGAUGCGCAGAAUAAUAGAGAAUUCAAAUAGACACACAUUAAAGAACAAGAAGAUUCUUCAAUUUAAGAAAUUCUCUUGUGCUGCUUGUUAUCAAGAAAAAAUGGUUAUUAAACUAUCAACAACUAAAGUUGGGAUUGAAUCCCCUGCAUUUCUGGAACAUAUACAGGGUGAUAUAUGUGGGUCUAUACACCCUCCAUGUGGACCAUUCAAAUAUUUUAUGGUCUUGAUAGACACAUCUACAAGAUGGUCACAUGUAUGCUUAUUGUCAACUCGUAAUAUGACAUUUGCGAGAUUGUUGGCCCAAAUAAUAAGGUUAAGAGCACAAUUUUCAGAUUAUAAAAUAAUGACAAUUCGUCUUGAUAAUGCUGGUGAAUUUACAUCUCAGGCCUUUACAGAUUAUUGUAUGGCCACUGAAAUAAAAGUUGAGCAUCCGGUUGCUCAUGUUCAUACUCAAAAUGGUCUAGCAGAAUCAUUGAUUAAACGCCUCCAACUAAUAGCUAGACCAUUGCUAAUGAGGAUAAAACUUCCCCUUUCAUUGUGGGGACAUGCUAUUUUGCAUGCAGCAGCAUUUGUGAGCAUAAGACCAAUUAGUUAUCAUAAAGUCUUCCCAUUACAGUUGACUUUUGGUCAGGAGUCAAAUAUUUCUCAUCUAAGAAUUUUUGGAUGUGCGGUAUAUGUUCUAAUUGCUCCACCACAACGCACAAAGAUGGGUCCCGAAAGAAGGUUGGGAGUAUAUGUUGGUUAUGAAUCUCCUUCUAUUAUUAAAUAUCUGGAGCAUAUGAUAGGAGAUUUGUUUAUAGCCAGAUUUGUUGAUUGCCAUUUUGAUGAAUCAGUUUUUCCAACAUUAGGGGGAGAAAAUAAAUAGCUGGAAAAAGAGAUAGAUUGGAACGUAUUAUCUCUAUCUCAUUUGGAUCCUCGUACAAAUGUGAACAAGAAGUUUAAAAGAUCAUUUAUAUGCAAAAUGCUGCAAAUCAAUUGCCGGAUGCAUUUACUAACCUUCCACGUGUUACUAAAUCGCAUAUUCCAGGUGUAAAUGCUCCAAUUCAAGUUGAUGUCCCAGCUGGACAGUAUGAUAAUGCAAAUGAGUCUAGUCCACGCCUUAAACGUGGUAGACCAAUUGGUUCCAAGGAUAAGAAUCCCCGAAAAAGGAAAGGAGCAAAUGAUCAAGUUGAUUAUAACAUAAAGGCAAUUGCUCAAGAGGAGCAUAAAGAUAUAAUAAUUGAUAAGACCUCACAGGAGGUUCUAGUACCUGAAAAUGAUGAAAAUGAAGAGAUCUCAAUAAGUUAUGUCUCUACGGGAAAAAGGUGAAACCGGAAUAAUAUUGUUGAUGACCAUAAUUUUGCAUAUAGCGUUGCAGAUGAAGUAAUGCAACAAGAUGAGGAUCUUGAGCCAAAAUCUGUCGAUGAAUGUAGACAAAGAAAUGAUUGGCCAAAAUGGAAAAAUGCAAUUCAAGCGGAAUUAGUUUCACUCAAAAAACGUGAAGUUUUCGGGCCAAUAGUCCGAACGCCUGAAGGUGUCAAGCUAGUGGGAUACAAAUAAGUUUUUGUGCGAAAACGAAAUGAGAAAGGUGAAGUCGUAAGAUAUAAAGCACGACUUGUGGCACAAGGGUUUUCGCAGAGGCCUGGCAUUGAUUAUAUGGAGACAUAUUCACAUAUGGUAGAUGCAAUUACCUUCAGGUAUCUAAUAAAUCUGGCAGUCCAUGAAAAGCUUGAUAUGCGGUUGAUGGAUGUUGUCAUAGCCUACUUAUAUUGCUCACUGGACAAUGAAAUUUUUAUGAAAUUCCAUGAAGGAUUUAAAGUUCCUGAAGCACAUAAAAGUUCAAGAGAACCUUGUUCAAUAAAGCUUCAGAAAUUCUUGUACAUAUUGAAGCAAUCAGGGAGGAUGUAGUACAAUCACCUUAGCGAGAAUUUGCUAAAGGAAGGGUACAAAAAUGACCUUAUUUGUCCUUGUGUCUUUAUUAAGAGGUCUGUAUCUGAAUUUGUCAUCAUAGUUGUAUAUGUUGAUGACUUGAAUAUCAUUGGCACUUCUAAAGAGCUUUCAAAGGUUGUAGAAUGUUUGAAGAAAGAAUUUGAAAUGAAAGAUCUUGGUAAGACAAAAUUUUAUCUUGACCUACAAAUUGAGCAUGUACCAAAUGGAAUUUUUGUCCAUCAAUCAACAUACACUGAAAAAAUUUUAAAGCAAUUUUACAUGGAUAAUGCACAUCUCUCGAGUACCCCAAUGUUUGUUAGAUCGCUUGACAUAAAUAAAGAUCCAUUUCGGCCUCAAGAAAAUGAUAAAGAGCUCGUUGGUGAUGAAACUCCAUAUCUUAGUGCAAUUGGGCACUGAUGUAUCUUGCCAACAAUACCCGACCAGAUAUUGCUUUUGUAGUAAGCUUAUUAGCAAGAUUCAGCUCCUCCCAACAAGAAGACAUUGGAAUGGUGUUAAGCAUAUAUUUAGAUAUCUUCGGGGAACUAUAGAUAUGGGAUUGUUUUAUUCUAAUGAAUUCAAGUCAGAAAUGACUGGCUAUGCCGAUGCAGGUUAUUUGUCUGAUCCACAUAAAUCCCGAUCUCAAACAGACUAUUUGUUUACAUAUAGAGGUUCAACUAUAUCAUGGCGUCAGCAUAUUCAGGAAAUGUAUGGUUUUCCUAUGAAAACAGAUAAUCCAACUACACUAUAUGAAGACAAUGUUGCUUGCAUUGCUCAACUGAAAGGAGGAUACAUCAAAGGAUACAGAACAAAGCAUAUUUCACCAAAGUUCUUUUUCAUGCAUGAUCUUCAAAAAAAUGGUGAAAUAAAUAUUCAACAGAUUCGUUCAUGUGAAAAAUUUUCUGAUCUGUUCACCAAGGCAUUACCAACCUCAACAUUUGAGAAGUUGGGACAAAAGAUUGGAAUGCGCCGUCUUCGGGAAAUAAAGUGAUGUUUUCAUGAGGGGGAGUAAGAUACGUGUUGUACUCUUUUUCCCUUAGCCUAUGUUUUGUCCCACUGGGUUUUUGUGGUAUGGUUUUUAACGAGGUAACAAAUAAAGCGUAUUACAGAUAUGUGUUCCUUCACUAAGAUUUUCCCACAUGAUUUUUUCUUAGUAAGAUUUUAACGAGGCAUAUUAUCUAUUUUUGGACACCCAGGGGGGAGUGUUGUAAAACUUAUAGUUAAUGUAGAUGUCCACUACUCCCACUAUUUUCACCCAUGAUGUGAAUAACCUUCACUACUCAUCACUAUUAUGAUUGUAACUCUCACACCUCCAUAACCUCUCCCUAUGAUCUUCCCCCAUGAUCUCAAUUGUUAAUGUCAUGUUUCAGACAAUCAUUUUGUAACCUUCAUAUGUAAUAGUAUAAAUAGAGGCAUGAAAUGUGAGAUGGAAUACACUUGAACGCUUGAUGAAAUAAGAAAGUUAUCUCUUCUUCUCUUAUUCUACUUAUCUUCUUGUUUUAUAUUGUUACUUUGAGCUACAUUUCUUAAUAUAUUAAUUUAUUCCAAGUGGUUUAUGUAUGGAAUUCAGCCUCAAGCUUUCUUAAGAUGGAUGUCAAGUCUGAAUCCAAUAAAGGCGCCACUAAAUAAAACCUAAUUAACAAAUGCAUGUUUUGUUUUAUAUAUCUCCAUUCCGAAUUUCAUAAGGAAAAAGGUUUAUUUGUCAAUUCAAAUAGGACGUGAAUGAGAUAUUUGAAAGUACAAGAGGGGGGGUGAAUUGUUGCCUAAUUAAAAUUUAGUCGACUAAUAUGGAUAUUAGUUGACUAACCACGAGACAGAAAGAGUAAAAGCAGUAAAGAGCAAUAGUAAGACACACACGAUUUAUACUGGUUCGGUACCGUUGUGGUACUUACAUCCAGUUCCCUUGGGUCAUAAGGGUUCCCUUAAGAUCUUUGAAUAAAUUUACAUGAUUUAUGGUAUUUUUGUGUUUACCAUCAACAUUUAGAAUCACCAGUUGAGUUCUAAUCAAGUGACACAACUUUCUUUUGUACUCUAGAUCUCUAUAUCUUUUGAGACGCUGAUAACUCAGAAUUACAGUAUUUGAACUAAGAAGUAGACAGAUUUGGAACUCUUUUUGUAGUUGCGUGGUCUUCUUCUUGAGAGAGUAGCCUUUUAAUACUAGAGAAAAGAUCCAUUAAAUCCUUUUUGAAACGAGAGGCAUAAGAUCUUUAAUUAAGGGAUUUGAUCCAAGAGAUGCCUCUUUGAAUCUUGCUCUUUGACUGGCCCAGAUUCGAAUGUGACCUUCCUUGUCACAGCUGAAUUCAAGGAGUGAUUAAUUAGUGAGUAUGUUCUUCGAAACUCGAAUGAUCAAGAUUGUAAAUCUGAGUUCCCUUGAUUGAGUCAAUCUGCUUCUUGAUUGACCAUUAAUGUUUGUAACUGAAUCUUCAUUCAAUCUUUGAGUAGGGACGAGUCAAGCUGCCUCUUAAUGAUCAUUAAUGCAGUAACUAAUUCUUACUUCCUCCUUUAUUUUGAAACUUGUAGCAAUCUUGCUAAUCAUUUUCAUUAUUUUCUUUUUGUUUGCCUUGAAAAUAUAACAUAGGAUAAUAUUGUCAUCAUUGAAAAUUAACUUAAAACCUAUCAAUCUCCCCCUUUUUGAUGAUGACAAUCAAGAAGGAGUAAACAAUUUUAAAGAAACUUAAGAUACUUCCCUUUAGGAGUUGCUCCCCCUAAGCUAGUGCUUCCCGUGAAUUGAAUUAUUCCUAUGUUUGGAAAGUUGUGCUCAUGUCUCCCCCUAAGUGUUUACUCACAUUUUUUCUCCCCCUUUGACAUUAAUCAAAAAGGAAAGAGUAACAUAACAUAUAGAAACACAACACAGAGCAAUAUAAUAAACAUACUAAAGGGGUUAGAGCAAUAGAGGCUUAAGUUAGUACAGCCCAAAAGAUAAUAGUCUAAAAACCACAAAAAACAUAAGUUGUUUGUCAAAAACAGCCAAAUAUAAUUAAUGACGUCCCAUAAAGUAUUUGAGGGUGUUGAUCACUUUGGUGCAGAAGGAGUCAUAGGAGUUGUCAACAUCCUUGACAAGCUUGUCCAUUUUUUCAGCCAUGGAAUUGAAGGCCCUUGUUCCCUGUCUCCUUAUAGCCCUUAUGUAUAUAUGUAGCUUUGCUACAUCUGAACCUGUCUCCUUAGUGACUUCUCUGAUUUUAUCUACCUGUUCUUUCAUUCCCACCAGUAGCAACUUGACUUUAUAAAGGUGUUGUUGAAUGUGUGGAAGACUCUAGGAGGUAGUCAACUGAGGGACUGGUUGAUCAACUUGAACAUCUACCGGAGCUGGAGAACUUUCAACCUUGGCCCUUUUAACCCAUCCAUUUUCACCCAAUGAGUAACCCAUCAUAGAGAAAAUAGUUUUGUCAUAGGUACUGGAGAUGUGUUUGGGGGUAAAGGGUGCUAAAUCAACCUUCAUAACUUCCAGAAUAUGAGAGACAAGAAUGUCAUAGGGUAGACAAGCAGCAGAAGAGGAAAUAUCCCUGAUACUCUCAAGCAUAUAUUGACGAAUCCACACAAACCAAUUAAGACGCUUGUUGUUGACCAGAUAGUAGAGUACAAAGACAUCUCUAGUAGACAACGGACUUAGGGACCCAGACCUGGAAAGUAAAGUAGUGGCAAUCAUAUGGGCCAAAACCCGGUGUUCAAAUUUUAAAUUUUUGGGGCCAAUGUCAGGGGGAUUAUCAGACAAGAAGGUUUUUGCUUCUUCAAGAGAUAUGUCAAAGUCUUUGGGCCAAGAAUUUUGGACAAACGCAUCAUACCCACUAAAUUUGGCAGAAAAGAUCUUUUUAAAUUGGUAGGAGUCCAACACAAUUCUAGUACCUAAGAUCAUAGACUCUAAGUCAUCCUUAUCAUUCACAAACAGACUUGCAUAAAACAUUCUCACAGGUUCUUCAUACACAGAAUUUCCAAGAGUGUUAAACACAGGGAAAAAGUGCUAGAAAUCAAAAAUUUCAGUCACAUCACAAUGAAGACUUUGCAUAAGAGAGAGAAUUACACAUCGUCCAUAAGCCAUGGAUUUUGACUUAUAGGACUCAAACCUUGCUUUUUUCACUGGGGCCAUAAAAGAUUAACUUAUCUUUUGGACCAAAAUCCAAGCGUUCUAUCUUGCCCUUUUUGCAUGAAGCCUUUUUGGGGGUUUGCUCCAUAGGUCGUUUUCCGGCCUUUUUCUAGCUAAUGGGUUGAUUUUCAGAUGAGGUACUGCUAUCAUUAUCAGUCUUGAGAAGGUCUGAAUUAGUAAACGAUUCUACAUCCACCGUUCCUUCUGUAUUGAGAGGUUUUUGAAACCUAUGGCUUCGCCUGGUUGCAGAAGAAGGGUUUCUUUUGGCCAUGGAGAAAUCGGAAGGGUGUUUGGUAAGGAAUGAGGAAGGUGUUUUGGAAGAUGGAGGUUUUUUUAUCAAGGAUUUGAGAUAAGUGAAGAGGCAUCUUGGUUAUCGGAAGGGCCAAAUACAGACGGAAGUGAUGGUUCUGAAUGACAGCAAGUAAUAAUUACACUUUCACAGCAAAAUUAAUUAGUACACGGAUAAUUAAGGAAAUAAAAUAUACUGAAAACAUAUAGAAUAAUUUAACUAAUUAAACAAGCAACUGGUUUACAAAUUUGGCAGAAUGCCAAUCUUUUUUCGAAGGAUACAAAAUCUUUCUUCUAAAAGAGGUUUAGUAAAAAUAUCCGCAAGUUGCGAAUCAGUGCUAAUGAAUUCUAAUGAAAUAUCACCUUUUGCAACAUGAUCACAAAUAAAAUGAUGUUUAAUUUCUAUAUGCUUCGCUCUAGAAUAAUGCACAGAAUUUUUAGAUAGACAGAUAGCACUGGUGUUGUCACAAAAAAUAGGAGUAGCAGUAAGACAUAAAUCAUAAUCAAGGAGUUGAUGCAUGAUCUAUAAAACUUGUGUACAACAACUUCCAACAACUAGGUAUUCUGCUUCAGUUGUUGAAAGAGCAACACAAUUUUGUUUCUUGCUGUACCAAGAUACUAAGGCAUUUCCCAGUAAUUGACAUGUCCCACUGGUACUUUUCCUAUCAGUUUUGUCUCCUGCAAAAUCAGCAUCUGAAAAGCCUCUUAAAGAGAAAUUGUUAAAAUGAUAAUACCAUAGGCCAAAUUCAGUAAUACCAAUUAAAUAUCAAAUAAUGCGUUUAACAGUAGUCAAAUGUGAUUCCUUAGGAGCUGACUGAAAUCUAGCAUAGUUACAUACACUAAACAAAAUAUCUGGUCGACUAGUAGUUAAAUAAAGUAGAGAUCCAAUCAUUCCUCUAUACAUGGUUUCAUCAACCAUUUUUCCAUUACUGUCAUCAUCUAGCAUAGUAAUUGGACUCAUAGGAGUACCAAUAGCCUUAGCAUUUUCCAUUCCAAAUUUUUUGAUAAGCUUCUUGGUGUAUUUAGAUUGGUUGAUAAGGAUUCCUUUAGGAGACUGCUUGAUUUGAAGUCCAAGGAAGAAGGUUAGUUCUCCCAUCAUGCUCAUCUCAAAUUCACCUUUCAUGGAAAGAGCAAAUUCUUCACAAAGAGUAGUGUUAGGGCUUUCAAAAAUAAUAUCAUCAAUGUAAAUUUGAGUAAUGAGAUUACUAAAAUUUGAUUGCUUAAUAAAAAGAGUUGUAUAUAUGUUACCUCGUUUGAAACCUUGAUUCAAAAGAAAAGAACUUAACCUUUCAUACCAAGCUCGUGGAGCUUGUUUGAGACCGUACAGGGCUUUAGUAAGCUUGUGUACAUGGUUUGGAAGAGUGGCAUUUGCAAAUCCAGGAGGUUGCUUUACGUAUACUUCUUCAGAUAUAAAACCAUUUAGGAACGCACUUUUGACAUCCAUCUGAUACAAUUUGAAUCCUUUGUGGGCGGCAAAGGCAAGUAGAAUUCUGAUGGAUUCAAGUCUUGCCACAGGUGCAAAGGUUUCAUCAUAGUCGAUUCCUUCUUAUUGAAAGUAACCUUGAGCCACUAGUCUUGCUUUAUUUCGAACUACUUCGCCUGAUUCAUUCAAUUUGUUUCUGAACACCCAUUUAGUCCCAACAAUAGAAGAGUUUUGGGGUUUUGGAACUAAUUCCCAGACUUUGUUUUUCUCAAACUGAUCUAAUUCUUCUUUCAUAGCGUUGAUCCAAUGUGAAUCUUUUAGAGCUUCAUCAAUCUUCUUGGGCUCAAUUUGAGAAAUGAGAGCUACAUGAGACUUGUUCUUUUGUGAUCUCCUUUGUAGUUAUUCCUUCCCGUGGAUCUCCAAUAACGAAUUUGUACGGAUAUCCUGGUUCGUUCCUCUAUUCAUUUGGAGUAUUCCCAGAAGAUAUGUUAGUCGACUGAUCUGGUUGAGAUAAGUCAUGAUUUUUUGAAGGUGCUUCAGCUGGUAGAUUCUAUUGAUUAGCUGACUCAAUUUGAUGAUAUUUUCCUAUAAUAACAGAUUUUGAAGCACACAAAAUUUCCUCAUCUUCAGGAACAUGCUCAUUCCUUAGGCGAGGGUUAGUAUCAAUAAAAAUAACAUGAACAGAUUCUUCAAUGCAUAAGGUUCUCUUAUUGUAAACUCUGUAAGCUCUACUAGAGGGAGAGUAACCAAGAAAUAUACCUUCAUCACUCUUCGGAUCAAACUUUCCUAGAUUAUCCUUACCAUUGUUAUGAACAAAAUAUUUGCAUCCAAAAGGGUGAAAGUAGUUGAUGUUUGGUUUCUUACCAUUCCAUAGUUCAUAGGGAGUCUUUUUGAGAAUAGGACGAAUGAGACAUCUAUUGAUAAUAUGAUAUGUUGUACUUACAUCUUCUGCCCAGAAAUGGUGAGGUAAAUAGUUCUCCACUAUCAUCGUUCUUGCCAUAUUCUGCAAGGUUCUGUUUUUUCUCUCUACUACACCAUUCUGCUGAGGAGAUCUUGGUGAAGAGAAAUUAUGAGAGAUUCCUUUAUCAUUGCAGAAAUUUUCAAAUGCUCUGCUUUCAAACUCUCCUCCAUGAUCACUUCUGAUUGUAGAGAUGUAAUAACCUUUCUCACGUUGAACCUUCUUACAAAAGACUUCAAAAUUCCUUAAGGCAUCAUCUUUAUGACUAAGAAAUGUAACCCAUGUAAAUCUAGAAAAAUUAUCUACAAUAACAAAAGCAUAUUUCUUACCUCCAAUACUAGCAGUUCUAGUGGGGCUAAAUAAAUCCAUAUGCAGUAGUUGAAGAGGUUUAGAUGUAGAAACAAUGUUUUUAACUUUGAAAAAGGAUCGAGUUUGUUUUCCUAAUUGACAUGCAUCACAGAUAUGACCUUUUGAAAAAUCCAGUUUUGGAAGACCAAUGACAAGGUCAUGUUUUGAAAGUUUUUGAAUGGUGUGCAUGCUUGCAUGCCCAAGUUUCCUAUGCCAAACCCAGGGAUCUUCAAUUAUAGAAGAAAGACAAAUUUGAUCCUCAAAGUUUUCUAGGUUUUUGAUAGUAUAGACAUUUUUGUCCCUAUUUCCAGAGAGAAUAAUAUUACCUGAUUCAUCUUCUAUGAACCAGCCAUGUUUCUUAAAACGAACCUCAUAAUAUUGUCACAUAGUUAACUGAUGCUGAGAAGAUUGUACCCGAGUUCAUCCACUAAGUAAACUCCAUCCACGUCACAUGUAGAGCUUAAAGGAACCUUUCCAACACCAAUAACAUUUCCUUUGGAUUUGUCACCAAAUGUAAUUGUUCCUCCAUCUAGCUUGGUGACUGAUUUGAACAAUUGUUUGUCACCCGUCAUAUGUCUGGAACACGCGCUGUCGAGAUACCAUUUUUCUUUUCGACUCUUCUUGCGGUGUUCCUGCAAAACAAAAUUACUUAUUUUUAGGUACUCAAGCCUACUUGGGUCCUGACUGGUUAGAUUUUUAGUUUGAUUUGAAGAUUUUGGUCUCCAAAUACACAUCCUGUUAUUUUUGAACCUGCAAUGAUUUGAGGCGUGACCUCUUUUGCCACAGUAGGUGCAAGGUGAGAUGUUGAAGUUUAUAGAAUUAUUCUCAGCUCUAAUUCUGUUCCUGCAAUUGUUAGUGCUAUGCCCAUUUUUACCACACAAGGAGCACGCUAUUUUAUUUCUAAUAGGAACAUUUUGAACUGAACUAGAACUUGAAGAUUUUUGUAGACUAUUCAAUUAAAGCCUGAGUUCGUUUACUUCUUCUUGAAGUAUAUCACGUUCAACUUCGCAUAUUUCUAGUUUCAGGGCCCAAUCCUUCUUUUCUCUUUCUCUUUCUCUUUUGACUUUUCUGAGUUCAUUUACUACUCUUUCAAUGUCUACAAGAGCAAUAUCAACAAAUUCUUGAAGUUCAUAACAAGAUGGACAUAAAGGAGUACGUACCUCACUAGUUCCUUCAUCCAACGGUGAAUAGGGUCUUUCUUGAAUCAUCUUUUUCUUUAUUGUUGUCUAUUAUUAGUGCAAGUUUAUCUGGUUCUUCAUUGUCGCUAAGAUCCAUAAAACACAUAUUGGCAAUUUCCUUAUGAUCAGAUUCCUCCUCAUCGCUCCAUGCUCCAAAAGCUUUUUUCUUUUGCACGUUCUUGCUAAGCUUCCUUUUUAAUUCAAGAUAGUCAGCUUGGACGUGUCCGAUCUUUCCACAUUCGUAACAUCUUCCAUCAUUUUUAUCUAUUUCAUUUCUCGCCCUUCCUUUUCUGAAAUUAAACUUACCUCUUAUGCAAUUUUUGUUUCUUCUCAUCAUGUUGGUCACAACUUGCGAGAGCAUUGCAAUGUUUUCAUCUUGUUCUCCUCCUUCUACUUCAUCUUCAUUUUCAGGUUCAGCCAUAGUUGCCUUGAAAGCAACGGUUUUCUUUUUCUCUUGAAUUUGUCUAUCAAGAUGAGUUUUCUCAAAAGCGAUCAAGCCACCUCUAAGUUCAUCAUAGGAGAUUUUGUCCAGGUCUUGACAUUCUAGGGCGAUAACUUUUGGUUGACAAAUUGUAGGUAGACUUCUGAGGAUCUUUCUAACCUGUUUGCCACUUUUAAUAGGUCUUCCAAAUGAUUUGAGGUCUCCAAGGAUUUUGCUGAAUCUGGAAAACAUUUCUUCAACAGAUUCUCCAUCCUUCAAUUGGAAUAAUUCAUAUUCCAUAACCAGGAGAUUUAUUCUAGUCUCUUUUACUUUGUUGGUUCCUUCAUAAGUGACUUCCAGUUUAUCCCACAUUUAUUUUGCAGUCUCACAACUGAAUAUUUUUUUAGAUUCUUCUCCACUGAUAGCGUUGUAUAGUAGAUUUUUUGCUUUUGCAUUCACAGUGAUGACAACAACUUGUUCAUCAGUGUAAUCGUCCAAAUUCAGAGGAUCAGUUGAUGUGAUGAUUUCACCAUUUGCAUUUUUCGUUGGAGGAAUUGGAAGAUUUCCCUUUUUUAUCACACGCCAUACUUUGAUGUCGUAUGACAUGGUGUAUGUUUCCAUGUGAACUUUUUAAUGUGAAAAAUGCUGACCAUUGAAGUAAGGAGGUCGAACCUGAGAGGUUCCUUCUUGAAAGAGAGUAUCGACGACAGUGUUAGAUCCCAUUGAUCUUUUUCUCACUAGCACUAAAACACAGAUUGUGAGCCUUACUCUAAUACCAAUUAAAAGUACAAGAGAGGAGUGAAUUAUUGCCUAAUUAAAAUUUAGUCGACUAAUAUGGGUAUUAGUUGACUAACCACGAGACAGAAAGAGUAAAAGCAGUAAAGAGCAAUAGUAAGACAGACACGAUUUAUACUGGUUCGGUACCAUUGUGGUACUUACAUCAAGUUCCCUUGGGUCACAAGGGUUACCUUAAGAUCUUUGAAUAAAUUUACACGGUUGAUGGUAUCUAAUCAAGUGACACAACUUUCUUUUGUACUCUAGAUCUCUCUAUCUUUUGAGACACUAAUAACUCAGAAUUACAGUAUUUGAACUAAGAAGUAAACAAAUUUGGAACACUCUUUUUGUAGUUGCAUGGUCUUCUUCUUGAGAGAGCAGCCUUUUUAUACCAGAGAAAAGAGCCGUUAAAUCUUUUUUGAAACGGGAGGCAUAAGAUUUUUAAUUAAGGGAUUUGACCCAAGAGAUGCCUCUUUGAAUCUUGCUCUUUGACUGACCCAAAUUCGAAUGUGACCUUUCUUGUCACAGCUGAAUUCAAAGAGUGAUUAAUUAGUGAGUGUGUUCUUCGAACCUGGAAUGAUCAAGAUUGGUAAUCUGAGUUCCCUUGAUUGAGUCAAUCUGCUUAUUGAUUAACCAUUAAUGUUUGUAACUGAAUUUUCAUUCAAUUCUUGAUUAGGGACGAGUCAAGCUGCCUCUUAAUGAUCAUUAAUGCAGUAACUAAUUCUUCCUUCUUCCUUUAUUUUGAACCCAGUAGCAAUCUUGCUAAUCAUCUUCAUUUUUUCCUUUUUGUUUGCUCUGAAAAUAUAACAUAGGAUAAUAUUGUCAUUAUUAAAACUUAAACUUAAAAUCUAUCAGUAUUAGCGGUCACUUAGCUUGUGAAAUAUAAUAUGUAGCAAUCAAAGAUAGGCAAGGCUUAAAAGCAAAAGAAUGACAGAUACACACAAUUAAUUACUUUUAGUGAAGAUCUCUUAUUCCAGCUCACUAAUGACAGCCCGUAAAGGAAAAGUCGCUAAAGAUUUUUGUAUUUUUAAUAUAACAUAAAUAAACAAAUGGUGCAUUUUAGCAGGAAAAAAUAUAUGAGAGCAAAUAGUAGGCAAAAUAAAAAGGAGGAGGUGCUCGACUUUGAAUUGAGCAUGAUGGAGUUACGCCUAGUUUUUUCCUUUAGAAAACAGGUUUAGAUGUAAUCCUACAGUCAUAUCGAUAAUUAAGAUUAAUUUUCUAUUUUUUAUAUAAAUAUUUGAAAUCUAUCAAACUGAACCUAAAAAAAAACUUUAUCUAUAAAAUAUAAGCAUACAAAAUAUUGAUCUCUUCAUCCGUGGAAAGUAGCAGUUCUCUCUAUCUCAUUCAUUUUAUGAGUGUUCUCAAAAAAACUUUUUUAGGUGAAAGAACGCAGAGAGGUUAGGAUGUUAAUAUUUUAAAUGGAUAACUUACGAGACCUCCCUCUAGGUUUCGCUCCAUUACAUUAACUUUCUUUGUGGUUUACGAUAUUACAGUUACCUCUUGCAUUUUUUUGUAACCUUUCUUUAAAUUAACUGUGAUAUACAAAAUUUGCCCCUAUUAAUUUCUUCUAAUUAAUCGACACUAUAAAAAAAAUCUUACUUAACAAAUGCUCUAAAAAUAAACCGACACAAAUAAGUAAUAAUGUGUUUUAUGUGUGAUAUCAACAAAUCCAUCUUCUUUAAGAUGCUUCUUACCUGAACCCAGUUCCCAGCCAUCUAAUAGCCACAUUAGGCAUUUCUAUUACAUUGUCAAAAAAUUUCUGGCAUCAUUCUGCUAUGUACAAAUGGAAUCCUGUCUCGACGUUUCCUUUUUUUUUUUUUUUUUGUUCUUAUUCCUCUUCUAUUUCCUGUAGUGAUCUGCUUUCUCAUUUCAUUAUACGUCUGUUGUGGAUCAUCGUUUACGGUCUUCUUCUUAUAGUUUCAAGCCAUUUUGAGAUUUUCACCCUGCUGUAGGCAUAAAUUUGGCGAGCUGCGGUGAGCAUCCAAAGUCGCAAGCUAUUAGGACUUUGCCUUGGAAUGGAAAGUUACUACUCAUUGGUUGAUUAUGCUACUUAUUUGUGUUGGCUCAUAUUUAGGAAAUUUGUUAAGCAAGAUUUUUUUAUUGUGUUCAUUAAUUGGAAGAAAUUAAUAGGGUCAGAUAUGUCAUAUUAUAUUUAAUUUAAAGAAUGGUUAUAAGAAAAUGCAAAUAAGGGAGAUAACCAUAAUAUUUUAAAUCACAAGGAAAGUCAGUCUGAUGUAGCGAAACCUGAAGAGAGGUCUCUGAAAUUGUCCCUAUUUUAAAACUUUUAAAUAAGAUAAUAACAAUUUAAUCGUAAUGAUGAUAUAUAACUUGCACAUUACUUUUUUGAUUUACUGGUUUUGCUCUAUAUUAAUAAAAUUUUGUGAAUUUUUGGUUCUUCAUCGUCAUCAUAUUUUUUUAGUUGCAUAAAAAUCUUCUUAAUAAGAUGAUGAUAGAUGAAAUUAAUGAGCACAGAUAGAUCUAUCGCAUAGUCAGUUCUUUUAUUCUUUUACUAAGUCAUGUGAUUUGAGUUUUUAUUUAUCUUACAUUUUAUAUUUUUAUAUAGCAAUCUAAUAUAUCGACAAUAACCAAAAUAUUUUAAGUAAUGCAUCUAAUGAUGACAUGACAUAUAGGAUACGGCACCCUCUAAAAGUUACAAAAAUACUUUUAAAAUGCAGCGCUUCUCGUUUGAUUUACCAAUUUUAGUCAUUGUUUCAUAAUUAAAAACUGAGAUAUUUUAUAAUUAUUGACAUUCUUAUUUAUAAUUUAAAAAAAAUGUAUUGUACAUGUCACGACCCCAAUUCACCCUCUGUGAAUAUGCCAUGAUGACACCUAGUCUUUACGACUAGGUAAGCCUAACAAUGCUGAAAAUAAACUAACUUGCGAAAUAAAUAAUCAAAACUGAACAACUGGAAGAAAACUGUAUAUAAAAAUGUCGCUCGGCAUAUACAACUCAACAUCACAGAAUCCUACAAUACUAUCCCAAAAUUCGGAAACUCACGGGAACACAAGCUGAAAGAAACGUAGUACAAUGCUCUAACUCCAGAAUGUCUACAACAACAGUAAGAAAGAAGGCUAAAUACUAAAAGAUGGAAUAAGAUAGAGACUUCUCGGUCUGCGGACGCGGCAGAUGUACCUCGAAGUCUCUGAUAGAUCUCCCCGCCUCAAGGGUGAUACGCCUGGGUAGAGGUACUUGGAUCUGUACAUGAAAAACAUGCGCAGAAAGGGCAUGAGUACACCACCGUGGUACUCAGUAAGUGUCAAGCCUAACCUCGAUCGGGUAGUGACGAGGAAGGUCCGGGCCCUACUGAGGUUAAACAUAAUAUAAAGUUUUAACAGUAUGAAAUAGACAAUAUAAAUGAGUACAACAGUGAAAUAAGUCAGGUUAUACAAGACAACAACAAAUAUACAAAGAACAGAGUAACACGAAAUAAGAACAGCUCAAUACCAAUAGCAACAACGAGGAUCUCCCAGGAUACCGUCCUGUAGUCCCUUUCAUCAACUGUCUAGUGGAUCUCCCGGGAUACCGUCCCGUAGUCCAAUCAUCAAUGUGCGGGGAUCUACUGGAACCCCGGUCCGUAGUCCCAAAUGUAAAUACCCAGUACUAGGGAAAUCUACCGGGUGCAUUCCCGUAGUUCCAUAUAACUGUGCAGGAGAAUCUACCGAAAAUCUAACCCGUAGUCCCAAAGUAAACAAACAAUGGGGGGGGGGAGCUACCGGAAUCCCACAUCCGUAGUCCCAAUGUAAAUACGCAGCAACAUCAAGAAGAUAUUUCAGAAAUUAAAUUUCAUAUCAAGGAAAAACAAGUAAUUCUAGCCUAACAUGUUUCACGUAGUGCACUCAAGGCAAUUUAAGUCAACUAAACAUGCUUUUCUAACUAACAACAUGCUAAAUUUGCACGUAUAAUAAAACAUGAAAGGGAACAUGUUAAUAAAUACUUUAAGAAAACCAAAUUUCUAAUAAUUUACACAAGUACGCGGUCGUCACCUCAUGCAAAAGACAAUUAAAUCACCAAAUAUGCAAAUCCUAAGGGGAAGGUCCCCCACACAAGGUUAGACAAGCCACUUACCUCGAACUGGCUCAAAAUCAACUAGAAACCAUGCUUUUGCCAUGAGUAUCCGACUCCAAAUGGACCAAAUCUAUUCAAUUCCAUUUCAUAAUGUAAAUAAUACUUCAAGAAGUUGAUUCUACAAUAAAAUUCUAAGCUAAUACGCGAAAUUAUGUAAAAUGAUCAAAACGCCCCUCGGGCCCACGUCUGGGAAUCGAGUAAAAUUUAUAUUUUUAGAAACCUCUACUCUCACGAGUUCAACCAUACUAAAAUUAUCCAAAUCCGAUGCCAAUUGCCCAACCAAAAUUCAAUAAUUCGGCCUAUGAAGUUUUACCAAUUUUCAUUCAAAAUCCGAAAUUAGAGGAGGAAUUCAUGCUUAAAUUAGUGGGUUACAAGCAAAAAGGAGUUUAGAAUCGUUACUCAAUCGAUAUCUCUGAAAAUUCCUCAAAAUCUCGCUCAAAUCCGAGCUCCCAAGCUUAAGUUUUGAUAAAAAUGGCUAAACCCUCGAUUUUUAAAAUCUUAUAUCUGCUCGGGCGCGUUCUUCUUUGCGAACGCGAGGCUACUAUCGCGAACGCGAUGCGCAAAAGUCCUGCUGGCCAAAUUCCUCUUUUGCGAACGCGAGGCCACUUCGCGAACGCGUAGCUUACACGGGCAGACCUUACGCGAAUGCGUGGACCAUAAUGCGAUCGCGAUGACCAAUGAGCCCUUACCUUCGCGAAAGCGGGACAUCAUCACGAACGCGAAACACAUAACAGCUACUCUACUUCACAAACCUUCACGAACGCGGGAUAGACUUCGCGAACGCGAAGCAUAAUCCUCCCCCAGCACCAGUUCCCCUACGCGAACGCGAGACCCUACUCGUUAACGCGAAGAGGGAAACCAGAACUAGGCUGCUACAGUAUUUUCUGCAAUUCUCUAUGUUCUAAAAAUGACUCGUUGAGCAUUCGAAACACACCCGGGGACCUCAACCAAAAGCACCAACAUAACCUAAAAUAUCAUUCAAACUUGUUCCAACCUUCGGAACGCUACAAACAACACCCAUUCUUCAUCGAAUUCAAGUCUAAAAUUUCAAAAACUCUAUAAAACACACUUUCGAUCAAAAAGUCUAUCAAACCUCGUCCGAAUGACCUGAAAUUUUGCACACACAUCCCUAAUGACAAGAUGAAGCUACUGCAACUCUCAGAAUUCCAUUCUGACCCUCUGAUCAAAAUCUCAUUACCAAACCGGAAACUUCCAAAAUUCAAAUCUUCGGCAUUUCAAGCCUAAAUUAGCUACGGACCUCCAAAACAUGUUCCGGACACGCUCCUAACCCCGAAAUCAGCUAACGGAGCUAAUGUAACCAUUGGAUUUCCAUUCCGAGGCCGUCUUCAUACUUUUCUGACUACGGAUAACUUUCCAACACUUCAGCUCUCAUUUAGGGACUAAGUAUCCCAAAACUCUUCGAAACUCAAAACCGAACAUCCCGGCAAAUCAAAUUAGCAGAAAUAAACUUGGGGAAAGAAGUUAAUAGGGGAUUGGGGCGUUAAUUCUUAAGACGACUGGCCGAGUCGUCACAUCCUCCUACACUUAAACAUCUAUUCGUCCUCGAAUGAGCAUAGAGACAUACUUGAAGUAGUGAAAAGAUGAGGGUAGCGGCUGCGCAUAUCCUGCUCGGUCUCCCAGGUCGCCUCCUCAGCCGGCUGACCCCGCCACUGAACCUUUACUGAGGCAAUGUUCUUUGACCUCAACUUUCUGACCUGCCUGUCCAAUAUAGCCACUGGCUCCUCAACAUAGGAUAGAUCCUUGUCCAACUGGACUGAACUGAAAUCUAACACGUGUGACGGAUCACCAUGAUACCUCUGAAGCAUUGAAACAUGAAAUACCGGAUGAACUCCUACCAAGCUGGGAGGUAAGGCAAGCUCAUAAGCAACCUCCCCAACACGCCUCAAUAUCUCAAAAGGGCCAAUAAAUCUCGGACUCAACUUCUCUUUCUUCCCAAACCUCAAAACGCCCUUCAUAGGCGAAACCCGAAGCAGAACCCGCUCUCCAACCAUAUAGGAAACAUCAUGAACCUUCCGGUCCGCGUAGCUCUUCUGUCUAGACUGGGCUGUACGGAGUCUAUCCUGAAUUACCUUAACCUUCUCCAAAGCAUCCUGAACCAAAUCUGUGCCCAAUAGCCUGGCCUCACCCGGCUUAAACCAACCCACCGGAGAUCUACACCGCCUACCAUAUAAAGUCUCAUACGGUGCCAUCAGAAUGCUGGAAUGAUAGCUAUUGUUGCAAGCAAACUCCGCCAAUGGCAAGAACUGAUCCCAAGACCCUCCAAACUCAAUCACACACGCACGGAGCAUAUCCUCAAGAAUCUGAAUAGUGCGCUCAGACUGUCUGUCCGUCUGAGGGUGAAAUGUUGCACUCAACUCUACUCAAGUGCCCAACUCACGCUGAACGACCCUCCAAAACCGUGAUGUAAACUGAGUACCUCUAUCUGAAAUUAUAGAAACUGGAAUACCAUGCAGACGAACAAUCUCCCGAAUAUAAAUCUCCGCCAACUGCUCCGAAGAAUAGGUAGUACACAUAAGAAUGAAAUGAGUGGACUUGGUCAGCCUAUCCACAAUCACCCAAAUAGCAUCAAACUUCUUCAAGGUCCGUGGUAGUCUAACUACAAAGUCCAUGGUGAUCCGCUCCCACUUCCACUCCGAAAUCUCUAUUUGCUGAAGCAACCCACCCGGUCUCUAGUGCUCAUACUUCACCUGCUAACAGUUGAGGCACCUAGCUACAAACCCAACUAUGUCUUUCUUCAUCUGCUUCCACCAAUAGUGCUGCCUCAAAUCCUGAUACAUCUUCGCGGCACUCGGAUGGAUGGAAUACCGCGAACUAUGGGCCUCCUCUAAAAUCAACUCUCGAAGCCCAUCAAGAUUGGGCAUACAAAUCCGACCCUGCAUCCUAAAUACCUCAUCAUCUCCAAUAGUCACAUCUCUGGCAUUACCGUGCUGAACCUUGUCCUUGAGGACAAGGAAAUGAGGGUUAUCAUACUGCCGCUCCCUAAUACGAUCAAAUAAGGAAGACCAAGAAACUACGCAAGCUAGAACCUGAUUGGGCUCCGAAACAUCCAAUCUCACAAACUGACUACCUAAGGCCUGAACAUCCAUCGCCAUAGGCCUCUGUAAAGCUGGUAAAUAUGCCAAACUCCCCAAACUAUCCACCCGGCGACUCAAGGCGUCAGCCACCACAUUGGCCUUGCCCGGGUGAUACAAAAUAAUGUUGUUAUAAUCCUUCAGCAGCUCUAACCACCUCCUCUGGCGCAAAUUUAGAUCCUUUUGCUUGAACAAAUGCUGCAAGCUCCGAUGGUCAGUGUAAAUCUCACAAGGAACCCCGUAUAAAUAAUGGCGCCAAAUCUUCAGGGCAUGAACAAUGAUAGCUAACUCAAUGUCAUGAACAUGGUAGUUCUUCUCAUGAAUCUUCAACUGUCUGGACGCGUAGGCAAUCACCCUACCGUCCUGCAUCAAUACCGCUCCGAAUCCAACCCUCGAGGCAUCACAAUAGAUUGUAUAAGACCCCGAACCAGUAGGCAAUAUCAAAACUGGGUCUGUAGUCAAAGCUGUCUUGAGCUUCUAAAAGCUCGCCUCACAGUCCUUUGUCCACUAAAAUGGAGCAGCCUUCUGGGUCAAUCUAGUCAUAGGGGCUGCAAUCGAUGAAUACCCAUCUACAAAACGACGUAGUAGCCCGCCAAGCCAAGGAAACUGCGAAUCUCUAUAGCUGAGGAUGGUCUGGGCCAACUCUGCACGACCUCUACCUUCUUCGGAUCCACCCGAAUGCCCUUACUCGAUACCACGUGGCCUAAGAAUGCCACUGAUUCCAACCAAAACUCACAUUUUGAGAACUUCGCAUAUAACUUCUUCUCUCUCAGAGUUUGAAGCACGAUCCUCGUAUGCUGCUCAUGAUCUUCCCGACUCCGGGAAUACACCAGAAUAUCAUCAAUGAAAACAAUGACGAACGAGUCAAGAUAGGGCCGGAACACAUUGUGCAUCAAAUGCAUAGAAGUUGCUGGGGCAUUGGUCAGCCCAAAUGACAUAACAAGGAACUCGUAAUGACCGUACCGAGUCCUAAAAGCUGUCUUCGGGAUAUCUGGCUCCUGAAUCUUCAACUGAUGGUAACCUGAACGCAAAUCAAUCUUAGAAAACACCCGUGCACCCUGAAGCUAGUCAAAUAGAUCAUUAAUACGAGGCAAAGGAUAACGGUUCUUCACUGUAACCUUGUUCAACUGUCGAUAAUCAAUGCACAUAUGCAUAGACCCAUUAUUUUUCUUCACAAACAAGACAGGAGCACCCCAAGGUGAAACGCUGGGUCGAAUAAAGCCUUUAUCAAGCAAUUCCUAUAACUGAUCCUUCAACUCCUUCAACUCAAGAGGAGCCAUACGAUACAGAUGAAUAGAAAUGCGCUGAGUGCCCGGCAACAAAUCAAUGCCAAAAUCAAUAUCUCUAUCAUGCGACAUGCCUGGAAGAUCAGCUGGAAACACAUCGAGAUAAUCCUGUACCACUGGGACUGAAUCAACAGAAGGGAUAUCAAUACUGACAUCUCUCACAUAAGCUAAAUACGCGUCACACCCCUUCUCAACCAUACUGUGAGCUUUAAGGAAAGAGAUAACUCUACUGGGAGUGUGAUCUAAAGUACCACUCCACUCAACACGCGGUAUACCUAGCAUAGCCAACGUCACAGUCUUGACGUGACAAUCAAGAAUAGCAAAAUGGGGUGACAACCAGUCCAUGCCCAAAAUAAUAUCAAAAUCACCAUGCUGAGUAGCAAUAAAUCGGCUCUGGUCUCAAAACCACGAAUAGUAACCAAACACGACCGAUAAACGCGGUCCAUAACAAGAGAAUCUCCCACAGGAGUAGAAACAUAAAUAGGAGAACUCAAAGAAUCUCGGGGUACACCCAAAUGCAGAGCAAAAUAAGAAGACACAUAAGAAUAAGUGGAGCCUAGAUCGAAUAGAACCGAUGCAUCUUUGUGACAAACUAUAACAAUACCUGUGAUAACAGAAUCAGAGGCAACAACUUCGGUACGAGUAGGGAAAAAGACAUAGUAUCUAGCCUGGACUCCUCCUCGAGGGCGACCUCUACCUACCCGACCUCUACCUCUAGCUGGCUGAGCAGGUGGGGCAGCAAUUGGAGCUGUAACCAUAGCCUGAGAACUCUGCGGGGCACGCUGUGGCUGAGAAAUCUGUGAAGGUGCACCCCUCCCAAGUCUGGGGCAAUCCCUAACCAUAUGGCGUGUGUCAUCACACUCAAAACAAGAUCUGGGAGGACAUGGUGGUUGUGAAUGACUAGGUCCAGGUCUGUUGGACUAACCUCUAAAAGCACCCCGCGCAGGAGGCGCACUAGAAACCGGAGGUGCAUAAUAAGGCUUCUGAGAUCUAGGAGGAGCUGGAGCACUGCUGGCUACUGGAAGAGCUAAAUUAACAGGGCGACUCAUAUAACCCCUACCAUGAAGACCUGCAGCUGGGGUAUGGGCACCAGAAUAAUGGCCCGACUCUCGAGACCUCUUGGCCUUCCUCUCCUCUCUCUCCCUAGCAUGCAUACCCUCAAUUCUCCUAGCAAUGCUCACCACCUGCUGGUAAGAAAUGUCUAUCUCCAACUCUCGAGCCAUGCUAGAUCUGAUGGGUGGGAUAAGGCCCUCAAUGAACCGACGAACCCUCUCACGGACAGUAGCAACCAAGGCCCGUGCAUGCCUAACCAAUCUGGUAUAACAGAUAACAUACUCUGAAACAGUCAUAGCACCCUGGCGCAAAUGCUCAAACUCUACGCGUCAUGCGUCCCUGAGGCUAUGAGGGACAAACUCUUUCAGGAACAUAUCUAAGAACUGGGUCCAAGUCAGUGAAGCAGCCAUAUUUGGACUGUCUAACUCAUAGGUGCACCAGUCAUAGGUGGCUCCCCGAAGCUGGAAAGCAGUAAAGCAAACCCCGCUAGAUCCUGUUAUACCCAUAGUGCGAAGAAUACAGUGGCACUCCUCCAGAAAUCCCAAGGCAUCAUCUGAUGCUAAUCUACUGAAUACCGGAGGAUCAUACUUCUUGAACCUCUCAAGUCUCUGCUGCUCGUCCUCUGAAGCAGUUGCCCCGUCCUCGGGCUGAACUGGCACUGCAGGCGGUGCUGGAAUGAUCUUUGGGACCUGCUCAACAUGCACUUGCUGCUUCAGAGUGCGGGCGGUGGGAGACUGUGCUCUUACCCCAGCCUGGGAUAUGGCUGCGGCAAGGAGAAGCAACCCUGCCUGAGCCAAGGUGGUGUACAUACUCAUGAACUGAGCCAGAGUCUCCUGAAGGGCUGGAGUAGUAGUGGCAGUAGGCGUGUCAGGUGCCUGGACUCUGGUUGGAUCUACUGGCGGUACCUCGCGCAGGUGCUCUCACUGCACCACAUGCGCAUCCUCGGCCUCUACCUCGGCCCCGACAUCUGACGGCUACAGUAGGGGGCGGGGGUGCAUGAUCAUCUCGAGUAGCACGUGUCCUCACCAUCUGUGAGAGAAUAGAAAACAGAAGUUUAGAAUUGUGAUGUCAAAAUAUCGCACGACAAGGAAAUCAAUUGAAGUGAAGAUUUUUCCUAACAGUUACAUAGCCUCUUGUAGAUAAGUAUAAACAUCUCAGUACCGAUCAGCGAGACUCUAAUAAACCGGCAUGUGUUUCGUGAGUCCUAUGAACCUAGAGCUCUGAUACCAACUUGUCACGACCCCAAUUCACCCUCUGUGAACAUGCCCUGACGGCACCUAGUCUCUAUGACUAGGUAAGCCUAACAAUGCGGAAAAUAAACUAACUUGCAAAAUAAAUAAUCAAAACUGAACAACUGGAAGAAAAUUGUAUAUAAAAAUGCCGCUCGGCAUACCAAUAUUACAAAAUCCUACAAUACUAUCCCAAAACCAAGAAACUCACGAGAACACACGCUGAAAGAAACGUAGUACAAUGCUCUAACUCCAGAAUGUCUACAACAACAGUAAGAAAGAAGGCUAAAUACUAAAAGAUGGAAUAAGAUAGAGACUCCUUGGUCUGCGGACGCGGCAAAUGUACCUCGAAGUCUCUGAUAGAUCUCCCCGCCUUAAGAGUGAUACGCCUGGGUAGAGGUACCUAGAUCUGCACAUGAAAAACAUGCGUAGAAAGGGCAUGAGUACACCACCGUGGUACUCAGUAAGUGCCAAGCCUAACCUCGGUCGGGUAGUGACGAGGAAGGUCAGGGCCCUAUUGAGGUUAAACAUAAUAUAAAGUUUUAACAGUAUGAAAUAGACAAUAUAAAUGAGUACAACAGUGAAAUAAGAUAGGUUAUACAAGGCAACAACAAAUAUACAAAGAACAAAGUAACACAGAAUAAGAACAAUUCAAUACCAAUAGCAACAACGAGGAUCUCCCAGGAUACCGUCCUGUAGUCCCUUUCAUCAACUGUCCAGUGGAUCUCUCGGGAUACCGUCCCGUAGUCCAAUCAUCAAUGCACGGGGAUCUACCGGAACCCCAGUCCGUAUUCCUAAAUGUAAAUACUCAGUACUGGAGGAAUCUACCGGGUGCAUUUCCGUAGUUCUAUAUAACUGUGUAGGGGGAUCUACUGGGAAUCUAACCCGUAGUCCCAAAGUAAACAAACAAGGGGGGGGGGAAGCUACCGGAAUCCCACAUCCGUAGUCCUAAUGUAAAUACACAGCAACAACAAGAAGAUAUUUCAGAAAUUAAAUUUCAUAUCAAGGAAAAAUAAGUAAUUCUAGCCUAACAUGCUUCACGUAGUGCACUCAAGCCAAUUUAAGUAAGUAGGCAAUUUAAGUCAACUAAACAUGCUUUUCUAACUAACAACGUGCUAAAUUUGCAAGUAUAAUAAACAGGAAAGGGAACAUGUUAAUAAAUACUUUAAGAAAAUCGUAUUUCCAACAAUUUGCACAAGUACGCGCUCGUCACCUCAUGCACAAGGCAAUUAAAUCACCAAAUAUGCACAUCAUAAGGGGAAGGUCCCCCACACAAGGUUAGACAAGCCACUUACCUCGAACUGGCUCAAAAUCAACUAAAAACCACGCUUUUGCCACGAGUAUCCGACUCCAAAUGGCCCAAAUCUAUUCAAUUCCAUUUCAUAAUGUAAAUAAUACUUCAAGAAGCUGAUUCUACAAUAAAAUUCUAAGCUAAUACGCGAAAUUAUGUAAGAUGACAAAAACGCCCCUCGGGCCACGUCUCAGAAUCGAGUAAAAUUUAUAUUUUCAGAAACCUCGUACUCUCAGGAGUUCAACCAUACUAAAAUUAUCCAAAUCUGAUGCCAAUUGCCCAACCAAAACUCAAUAAUUCGGCCUAUGAAGUUUUACCUAAUUUUCAUUCAAAAUCCGAAAUUAGAGGAGGAAUUCAUGCUUAGAUUAGUGGAUUACAAGCAAAAAGGAGUUUAGAAUCGUUACCCAAUCGAUAUCUCUAAAAAUUUCUCAAAAUCUCGCUCAAAUCCGAGCUCCCAAGCUUAAGUUUUGAUAAAAAUGGCUAAACCCUUGAUUUUUAAAAUCUUAUAUCUGCCCAGGCGCGUUCUUCUUCGCGAACGCGAGGCUACUAUCGCGAACGCGAUGCACAAAAGUCCUGCUGGCCAAAUUCCUCUUUCGCGAACGCGUAUCUUACACGAGCAGACCUUACGCGAACGCGUGGACCAUAACGCGAUGACUAAUGAGCCCUUACCUUCGCGAAAGCGGGACAUCAUCGCGAACGCGAAACACAUAACAGCUGCUCUACUUCACAAACCUUCACGAAUGCGGGAUAGACUUCGCGAAUGCGAAGCACAAUCCUCCCCCCAGCCCCAGUUCCCCUACGCGAACACGAGACCCCACUCGCGAACGCGAAGAAGGAAACCAGAACUGGGCUGCUGCAAUAUUUUCUGCAAUUCUCUAAGUUCUAAACAUGACCCGUUGAGCAUCCGAAACACACCCGAGGCCCCUGGGACCUCAACCAAAAGCACCAACAUAACCUAAAACGUCAUUCAAACUUGUUCCAACCUUCGGAACGCUACAAACAACACCCAAACACCCAUUUUUCAUCGAUUUCAAGCCUAAAAUUUUAAAAACUCUAUAAAAUACACUUUCGAUCAAAAAGUCUAUCAAACCUCGUCCGAAUGACCUGAUAUUUUGCACACACAACCCAAAUGACAUGACGAAGCUACUGCAACUCUCGGAAUUCCAUUCCGACUUUCGGAUCAAAAUCUCACUACCGAACCGGAAACUUCCAAAAUUCAAAUCUUCGGCAUUUCAAGCCUAAAUUAGCUACGGACCUCCAAAACAUGUUUCAGACACGCUCCUAACCCCGAAAUCACCUAACGGAGCUAACGGAACCAUCAGAUUUCCAUUCCGAGGCCGUCUUCACACUGUUCCGACUACGGACAACUUUCCAACACUUAAGCUCUUAUUUAGGGACUAAGUGUCCCAAAACUCUCUGAAACUCAAAACUGAACAUCCCGGCAAAUCAAAUUAGCAUAAAUAAACUUGAGGAAAGCAGUUAAUAGGAGAUCAGACGUUAAUUCUUAAGACGACCGGCCGGAUCGUCACAGUAGUCAUUACUAAAAAUAGCAAACUCAGGAGUGACGAUAAGCUUGAGAAGUGCUUUCAGUGUCUCAUGCGCACAAAUAAAUCCAUGUUAUCGGCAUGAAAAGCCAUUAAAAAGUUAAGCACUACAAGCUCAAAACUCCAUGUGAUAGACACCGUGUCCGUACAUUUUCUCAAAUGAGAAUGAGAUGAAAUGACACUGCUGUAAAUACCUAAUUUUUGCUCCUUUUUUUAAAAAUUUGUUUAUUAUGUGUGUUUGUGUAGGUUUUAGGAGUUGAUUAUAGUUUAAUGUAAAAAGGGAAUAAGAGUUGGGCUAAGUUGUGUUUUUAGCCGAAAUGGGCCAACAAUCGGACCAAAUCAGUGGCCCAAUGGCACUGACCCGGUCCAAGAUGAGGCUAGCAGUGGAGUAAUUAAAAGACGUAGUUUCAUAGUGAAGCUACGCCAUUUCAUUUAGUGAUCCAAGGAUCGGAUCUCAGCCAUCUAUAGUGUUGUAAUCGGACGACUCUCAUUCAAUCACAACACAGGUAUUUAAUACCUUAAUUACCCAAAAUUUUGAAUCGCCACCACCAGCAGAACACCCCAAACCACUCCAUUCUUACACCGUUUUCUCCUCUCGUCCUACUCUACCCGAUUCCUAUUGAAUAUUGAUAAAAUGUAAUUCCUAUUUAGUUGGGUAAUUAGCAUAUUUCAGGUUUAGUUGAGUCAAAGCAUAUCUUUAUUAGUAGUUUAGCGGGUAAAUUAGUGGUUAAGUUAGUGGGUCAUGUUCAGACAGUUAUCUCUUAGUAAGUUAGACUAAAUCUCUAGAUAAAGGGUGCUAUGUAGCUUUAUUUUUUUCGUGAAACUAAGUAACAAAAAUUUCUCUGCAUUAAACAGUCUUCUUCUAUAAUAGUUUUCUUGCUUCUUCUUCAAUUCCCCCAACAAUUUUUGUAUCAGAGCGAGGUGAGAAGUGAGAGAGUGGAACUCCACAAAUUACCAACCUUAUGUUCUUUUUUCUCUUUUUCCAGGUUAGGUCAAACUGGGAAGGUAAAGUAAGAGCAAAAAAAAAAGAGUCAAAAUUGAGGGAAAAGAAUGGCUCCCAAUAGAGCAUCCACCACUUCUCAGCAACUAAUUCAUACUUUUAAUGGGGAUAAAUAUGAAUUUUGGAGCAUAUAAAUGAAGACUUAGUUCAAGUCUCAAGAAUUGUGGGACUUGGUGGAGAAUGGCUAUGUUGAGGAAAACGAAGCUCAAAGACUACAGGAGAACAAAAAGGACUCCAAGGCCCGGUUUUACAUCCAGCAAGCUAUGCAUGAGUCAAUUUUCUCCAGAAUUGUUGUUGCAUAGACCUCAAAAGAAGCAUGAGAGACUAUAAGAAAGAAUUCGCGGCUCAACAAAGGUAAUGAUUGUUAAACUCCAGUCACUCCGGCGUGAUUUUGAAAAUUCAUCGAUGGAAAGUAGUGAAUCUGUGCAAGACUACUUAUCUAUGGUGACUGCAAUUGUUAGUCAAAUGAAGUGCAAUUGUUAGUCAAAUGAAGGCAUAUGAUGACACAAUUAGCGAUGAAGUUGUUGUCUCUGAAGCUCUAAAAAGUCUUAAUAAACGAUUUGACCAUAUUGUAGCUGCUAUUGAGAAGUCCCAUGAUUUAUCUACUAUACCUUUAAUGAAUUGAUAAGUUCCUUGCAAGCUCAUAAGGAUAGACUGUAUGCCUCUCAUGAGAAGGGCGAAGAUAAGGCAUUUCAAAUGAAGGGGGAGUCUUCUUUUAAAGGCAAAUCAGAAGUUUCAAAUGUUAGAGGGCAUGGAGGCAGAGGUGGUUUUCGUGGUCGAGGUCGUGGCAGAGGACAAGGUCAAUUUGGUGGUCAGAACCGACAGUUCAAGAGCACCAUUCAAUGUCGCUAUUGCAAAAAGUUCGGCCAUAAGGAAGUUAAUUGCUGGGCUAAACAAAAGGAUGACCAAAAGCAUGCCAAUUUCAUGGAGAAACCACAAUAGGAGAGUAAUCUGUUCAUGGCUCUCUCCUCUAUAGGUGCUGGUUUGAAUGGUGUCUGGUUCAUUGACAGUGGUUGUUCUAACCACAUGUCUGGCACAAGGUCGUUGUUCAAAGAGCUUGAUGAAUCGAAGAAGUCAGAAGUUCGGCUAGGAAAUGAUAAAGCAAUGAAAGACGAAGGGAAAGGUACAGUUGCCUUAAAAACUUCUCAAGGUAAUAUUAAACUUCUCCAUGAUGUGCAGUAUGUUCCUUGUUUAGCUCAUAACCUAUUGAGUGCUGGGCGAUUGAUGACUUGUGGAUACUUUAUUCUAUUUGAUGACAACUCUCGUAGCAUUCAAGAUAAAAAAAUCAGGUCAAAAAAUUGUUAAUGUUCAAAUGACUCAGAACAAAAUGUUUCCUCUUGAAGUUUCUAAUGUUAAAAGUUAUGCAUUAGUUGCCAAAGGUGGUAUAGAAGCUAACUUGUGACUUGCAGUAUGGUCAUUUGAAUAUAAAGGGGUUGCAAUUAUUAGGUCACAAAAAUAUGGUUCUUGGUUUGCCUAAAAUUGAUGCUCUUGAAUUUUGUGAAGGAGGUGUGAAUGGGAAGCAAAAUAGAAAUUCAUUCCCUGUAGGCAAGUCCUGGAGAGCUUCUAUUUGUCAUGAGUUGGUGCACGCUGAUUUGUGCGGCCCUAUGAGUGUUGAGUCCUUAGGUGGAAGUCGAUACUUUCUACUUUUUACUAAGGAUUAUAGUCGAAUGAGUUGGGUAUAUUUCUUUUAAUUCAAAUCUGAAACGUUUGAAUAUUUUAAGAAAUUUAAGUCUUUUGUUGAGAGGCAAAGUGGCUAUAGAGUCAAGACUCUUCUAACAGAUAGAAGUGGCGAGUUUAUGUCAAAUAAGUUCAACUCUUUUUGUGAUGAAAAUGGUAUUCACAGAGAGCUCAUAGCACCAUAUACACUGGAGCAGAAUGGUGUAGCCGAACGAAAGAACCAGACAGUUGUUGAGAUGGGUAGAAGCAUGAUGCAAGCCAAAGGUGUACCAAAGUGUUUCUAGGCUGAAACUGUUGCCACAACUGUCUAUUUGCUGAAUAUUUCACCCACCAAGGCUGUUCUUAAUCAAACACCAUAUGAAGCAUGGAAAGGUAACAAGCCUAAGGUAAGCCACUUAUGCAUCUUUUGAUGUAUAGCUUAUGCUUUGGUGAAUUCACAGGAUCAACAUAAGCUUGAUGGAAAAUCUGAAAAAUGUAUCUUUGUUGGCUAUAAUGCACAAUCCAAAGCUUAUAAGCUAUAUAAUUCAGUGAGUGGCAAAGUUGUAAUCAGUAGAAAUGUUGUGUUUAAUGAAGAUGCAACCUAGAACUUCAAUUCCGGGAAUGUGAAUAUAUAAAUUGGCACCUACUGAUGAUGUUUUUAAUCAAGAAUCUGCAGCAGACUCUACUCCAGGGAACUCAUCUAAUUCUUCUCGAGCAAGUAGCGGUCUUUCUCCUCCUCAGUCAAGCACCUCUUAUCCAGCAAGUGAUCACUCCUUAACUCCACAAGGAAGCGGCAACAAUUUUUCUCCAUCAGACUCUUCCAACGAGACUCCACCAACAAAAUUCAGAUUUUUGAGGAAAAUUAAUGAAAUUGCUCUUUUGAUUUGUAUGUUGCAGAACCCACUUGUUUCAAGGAAGCUGCUGAGAUUGAAGAAAGGAAAAAUGCAAUGAUAGAAGAGCAAUUGAGCAGAAUCAGACAUGGGAGUUGGUGGAUCUACUAGAUGGCAAAGAACCCAUUGGACUCAAAUGGGUGUUCAAAAUAAAGUAUCAUGCAGACGGGAGCAUACAGAGAUACUAGUGAGGCUGGUAACUAAAGGAUAUGCACAAUAUCAAGGUAUUGAUUAUGAUGAAACGUUUUCACCUGUUGCUCGCUUUGAAACAGUGAGAAUGCACUUAUCUUUGGCUGCUACAUUAACCUGGCCCGUUUAUCAAUUUGAUGUUGGAUCUGCAUUCUUAAACAGGGAUCUAGAAGAGGUUAAGUUUCCCAACCUGAGGGUUUUGUUAUUACAGAUGAUAAGAGCAAAGUGUACAAGCUAUAAAAGGCUCUUUAUGGGCUAAAACAAGUGCCACGGGCGUGGUACAACAAAAUUAACUCGUAUUUCCUAAAGAACAUAUUUGAAAGGAGCGAGAGCGAGCCUACAUUGUAUGUAAAGAAGUAAGGUAUGAGUGAUUUUCUGGUAGUUUGUCUGUAUGUUGAUGACAUGAUUUAUACGGGAUCAUGUAAAACUUUGGCGGCUGAAUUUAAAUCAUGUAUGAUGAAGGAGUUUGAAAUGUCAUAUUUAGGUAUCAUGCAAUAUUUUCUUGGUCUUCAAGUGAAACAUGAAGAAGAUGGUAUUUUUGUUUCACAAAGAAAGUAUGCAAAAGAUCUUCUGCUUAGGUUUGGUAUGCAGAAUUGUAAAGUGGCUGCUACACCCAUGAAUGCAAAUGAAAAAUUGCAGCUUGAAUAUGGCAUCGAUCCUGCUGAUCCAAGUUUAUUACAGAAGUUUGAUUGGAGGUUUGAAUUACCUAACACACACGUCCUGAUAUUAUGUUUUCGGUUAGUGUGUUAUCUAAGUAUAUGCAUAGUCCUACGAAGCAACAUCUUGGUGCUGCUAAAAGGGUUUUGCGAUAUGUUGCUGGGACCGUUGACUUUAGGAUUUGGUACUCUAAAGAUGCAGACUUCAGCUUGAUUGGUUAUAGUGACAGUGAUUGGGCAGGAAGUAUAGAUGACAGAAAGAGUACAUCUGGAAAUGUUUUCAGCUUUGGAUCUGGAGCAAUUUCGUGGUGUUCGGAGAAGCAGAACGUGGAUGCAUUAUCGUCGUCGAAAGCAGAAUAUGUUAUUGUAACUUCAACAGCUUGUUGGGCCAUAUGGUUGUGAAGAUUGUUAGUUGAUGUCUGCCAUCAGCAAGAGGGUGCAAUGAAAAUACUUUGUGACAACAAGGCAACGAUUGCAAUGACAAAGAAUUCGACUUUUCACAGCAGAACAAAGCAUAUUGACAUCCGUUAUCAUUUCAUUUGCAACCUCACAGCAAAAGGAGAAAUAGAGUUGAAGUUUUGCAGUACAAGGGAUCAAAUUGCUGAUGUCCUUACUAAGGCACUCCCACAAGUCAAGCAUGAUUAUUUUCGGUAGUAACUAGAAACUUGAAGUCUAUAGUUUUGAAUCAAGGGGAGUGCUGAAUAUUGAUUCAAAAAAUGUAAUUCCUAUUUAGUUGGGUAAUUGGCAUAUUUCCGAUUUAGUUGAGUCGAAGCAUAUCUUUAUUAGUGGCUUAGUGGAUAAAUUAGUGGUUAAGUUAUCAGUUAGUAAGUUAGACUAAACCCCUAUAUAAGGGUGCUAUGUAAGCUUUGUUUUCUAUGUAACUAAAGAAAAGUUCUUUGCAUUAAACCGUCUUCUUCUAUAAGAAAUUUCUUGCUUUUUCUUCAAUUCCCACAAUAAUUCCGCACCCCAAAACCUUCAAAACCCUCCCAAAAACCAUAUAUCUCACAAAAAUCGAAAUCCUAGCGUUCCCGUUUUCUUCAAAUUCAUGAGGAUUGAGUCAUCCCCUUCGCCCAACACAUACAGACAUAUAGAGCUCGACUCGAUCUCCGGUGACUCGAAUUCCAGCGAAGCUUCCGUUCACUCCUGCUGCCGCCUUCCUCCACCCCACUGACUCGAGCUCUUUUAGCCGUUUUCGACCAAAAACCCUCUUUUCUUUCCAUUAUGCUGCUGAAAAUAUUUAUUUCAGCGUCUGUUGGAACACAUCAAGUGUUCCAAGGUCGGACAACCGCUCGUCUUUGUCCCC
rnacentral:lncRNA from 1 species